AGCGAACGCUGGCGGCAGGCCUAACACAUGCAAGUCGAACGAACCUUUCGGGGUUAGUGGCGGACGGGUGAGUAACACGUGGGAACGUGCCUUUAGGUUCGGAAUAACUCAGGGAAACUUGUGCUAAUACCGAAUGUGCCCUUCGGGGGAAAGAUUAAUCGCCUUUAGAGCGGCCCGCGUCUGAUUAGCUAGUUGGUUGAGGUAAUGGCUCACCAAGGCGACGAUCAGUAGCUGGUCUGAGAGGAUGAUCAGCCACAUUGGGACUGAGACACGGCCCAAACUCCUACGGGAGGCAGCAGUGGGGAGUCUUGCGCAAUGAGCGAAAGCCUGACGCAGCCAUGCCGCGUGAAUGAUGAAGGUCUUAGGAUUGUAAAAUUCUUUCACCGGAGACGAUAAUGACGGUACCCGGAGAAGAAGCCCCGGCUAACUUCGUG
rnacentral:rRNA from 1 species